rnacentral:lncRNA from 1 species
CCGGCACAGGCGACCGCCACGGCGAGCGGAUCCGGCGGGAGGAGUCUGCGAGGAGGAGGCGGAGGACGAGGAGGAGGAGGGAGGGAGGAGAGAGGAAGACCGGAGUCCCCGCGGCGGCGGCGGGGAGCCCCGCGCGGCUCCCGGGGACCGGGCGCUGCCACGAGGCCGGGACGCUGGACGCUGGGGAAUCUUCGCUCACGCUGCUACCCUCACGCCAGCUGCCAGCUCCUCGGAGGAGGACCACACCUGUGCCUGUUCCCGCUUUGGAGGAGAGGUGAGCUGAGAAACCGGGGAAUCCUCUGUUCCCCAGAGCUCCUAGCUAACCCCCGUCCCAGAAUUGGCCAAAAAGUGCUGCUUUCACCUGCUGACGGCUUUGGGGCCCCUCUUCCCUCCACCCUGGCAAGUUGUGGUCUACAGAUGUGUUGGGAUUUCUUUUCCCCCUGGACCUGCACCCCGCCAACUAGCGACUCACUGCUGGGUUUAGAUUGAGAGAGAGCGGUGACCCACUUCAGCCCGGUGCGCCUUCUUUCUUCCCCACUGUGUCUUCUGUUGGAAUCCUCUGCUUUCCCCCACCGCCCCUUCAUUCUGCCCCUAAGAGCUUAGCCCAGAAUCAGGCCUAAGCAGCCCGUCUCUGGCUCUCUUCCGUGGGCCCCACCCUGGCCCCUCUUGGUUCUAAAGAGCCAAACACGCCUUCCAGGCAGAAGGCACACCCAGCCCCAAAUCUAACCAUUCCAAAAGGGAGGAGGGAACCAUGGAAGCCAAGGGACCCAGGGGUCUCAUUUCUGUCCUGGAUAUCCCCAACAGCAUUUCCCUCUUCAGGCCUCCUAGAGUUAUAAUCGCCUGAUUCUUACCAGCUGUUGCUCCCACCCUCUUUGCCCCUAGUGCUGUGAUAGAUAUUUGGGGAGGUGGGGUUGAGGGUUGGAGAAAAAGGUGGUCACCCUUCUUGCCUAGAGGGAGGCAUUUCCUUCUCCCAGUCUUUUCAUUUUCGAGAUGGUUAGUAAGUAAAAUAUGUAAAUAUGUUUGCA